AUUGAACGCUGGCGGCAGGCCUAACACAUGCAAGUCGAACGGUAGCACAGAGAGCUUGCUCUCGGGUGACGAGUGGCAGACGGGUGAGUAAUGUCUGGGAAACUGCCUGAUGGAGGGGGAUAACUACUGGAAACGGUAGCUAAUACCGCAUAACGUCGCAAGACCGAAGAGGGGGACCUUCGGGCCUCUUGCCAUCAGAUGUGCCCAGAUGGGAUUAGCUAGUAGGUGGGGUAACGGCUCACCUAGGCGACGAUCCCUAGCUGGUCUGAGAGGAUGACCAGCCACACUGGAACUGAGACGCGGUCCAGACUCCUACGGGAGGCAGCAGUGGGGAAUAUUGCACAAUGGGCGCAAGCCUGAUGCAGCCAUGCCGCGUGUAUGAAGAAGGCCUUCGGGUUGUAAAGUACUUUCAGCGGGGAGGAAGGCAGUACGGUUAAUAACCGUGUUGAUUGACGUUACCCGCAGAAGAAGCACCGGCUAACUCCGUGCCAGCCGCCGCAGUAA
rnacentral:rRNA from 1 species